rnacentral:hammerhead_ribozyme from 1 species
AUCCAGCUGAUGAGUCUUAAAUAGGGCGAAACUUGCGUCCUGUAU